rnacentral:rRNA from 1 species
AAUCAACGCUGGCGGCGUGCCUCAGACAUGCAAGUCGAACGAUUAAAGCUCUCUUCGGAGAGUGUAUAGAGUGGCGCACGGGUGAGUAACACGUAAGUAAUCUACCCUCGGGUGGGGAAUAACAUCGGGAAACCGAUGCUAAUACCGCAUAAUGCAGCGGCUCCUAAUGGAGACAGUUGUUAAAGGAUUUAUUCGCCUGGGGAGGAGCUUGCGGCAGAUUAGCUAGUUGGUAAGGUAAUGGCUUACCAAGGCUACGAUCUGUAGCCGGUCUAAGAGGACGGUCGGUCACACUGACACUGAAUAACGGGUCAGACUCCUACGGGAGGCAGCAGUCGGGAAUUUUGGGCAAUGGGCGAAAGCCUGACCCAGCAACGCCGCGUGAAGGAUGAAGUAUUUCGGUAUGUAAAC